rnacentral:rRNA from 1 species
GAUGAACGUUAGCGGCAGGCUUAAUACAUGCAAGUCGAGGGACAGCACAGGUAACAAUACUGGGUGGUAACCGGCAAACGGGUGCGGAACACGUACACAACCUUCCUUUAAGUGGGGGAUAGCCCAGAGAAAUUUGGAUUAAUACCCCGUAAUAUAGUUGAAUGGCAUCAUUUGAUUAUUAUAGCUACGGCGCUUAAUGAUGGGUGUGCGGCUGAUUAGAUAGUUGGCGGGGUAACGGCCCACCAAGUCUACGAUCAGUAGCUGAUGUGAGACAAUGAGCGGCCACAGGGGCACGGAGACAGGGGCCCGACUCAUAGGGGAGGCAGCAGUAAGAAUUGUUGGACAAUGGACGCAAGUCUGAACAAGCAAUGCCGGGUGAAGGAUUAAGGUCCUCUGGAUUGUAAACUUCUUUUAUUGGGAACAAAAAAGGGUCUUUCUAGGUAAACUGACGGUACCAGAUGAAUAAGCACCGGCAACCUCCGUGCCAGCAGCCGCCGUAA